rnacentral:rRNA from 1 species
CUGGCGGCGUGCCUAACACAUGCAAGUCGAGCGAGGAGAUCCUUCGGGAUGAUCCUAGCGGCGGACGGGUGAGUAACACGUGGGCAACCUGCCUCAUAGAGAGGAAUAGCCUUCCGAAAGGAGAUUAAUACCUCAUAACAUUGCAGUUUCGCAUGGAACAGCAAUUAAAGGAGUAAUCCGCUAUGAGAUGGGCCCGCGGCGCAUUAGCUAGUUGGUGAGGUAACGGCUCACCAAGGCGACGAUGCGUAGCCGACCUGAGAGGGUGAUCGGCCACAUUGGGACUGAGACACGGCCCGGACUCCUACGGGAGGCAGCAGUGGGGAAUAUUGCACAAUGGGGGAAACCCUGAUGCAAGCAACGCCGCGUGAGUGAUGACGGCCUUCGGGUUGUAAAGCUCUGUCUUCAGGGACGAUAAUGACGGUACCUGAGGAGGAAGCCACGGCUAACUACGUGCCAGCAGCGGC